rnacentral:lncRNA from 1 species
GCUAAAGCGAAGUGUAGGAUCGCAGCGCGCUUCCGGAGGCUCGGAUAUUGCAUCCAGCCCGCGAGCUUCUGAGCGUGUCUGACUCCUGUUCCUUCUCGGACUGCUCCCUAACCCGGCGGGGCUUUCCAAAGUGAAAAUGGUCCACCAUUCUGGCUCGAUUCAGUCCUUUAAACAGCAAAAAGCAAACCAGCUUAGUGGGGAUUGUUCUACCAGUCCAGUGACGCCCCGAGGUUUGAAGACAGGACUAUUGGACGACGUUUGCCCCAGUCUGUGAUACAAAAGGAGAAUAAGCUUCACACAAACAAAUAUCCUUGCGACAC